CAGUCGCCGCGGGAAUACAGAGGGUGCAAGCGUUAAUCGGAAUUACUGGGCGUAAAGUGCGCGUAGGUGGUUUGUUAAGUUGGAUGUGAAAUCCCCGGGCUCAACCUGGGAACUGCAUCCAAAACUGGCAAGCUAGAGUAUGGUAGAGGGUGGUGGAAUUUCCUGUGUAGCGGUGAAAUGCGUAGAUAUAGGAAGGAACACCAGUGGCGAAGGCGACCACCUGGACUGAUACUGACACUGAGGUGCGAAAGCGUGGGGAGCAAACAGGAUUAGAUACCCCAGUAGUCCCUGUCUCUUAUAC
rnacentral:rRNA from 1 species